GAUGAACGCUGGCGGCGUGCCUAAUACAUGCAAGUCGAGCGAACAGACGAGGAGCUUGCUCCUCUGACGUUAGCGGCGGACGGGUGAGUAACACGUGGAUAACCUACCUAUAAGACUGGGAUAACUUCGGGAAACCGGAGCUAAUACCGGAUAAUAUAUUGAACCGCAUGGUUCAAUAGUGAAAGACGGUUUUGCUGUCACUUAUAGAUGGAUCCGCGCCGCAUUAGCUAGUUGGUAAGGUAACGGCUUACCAAGGCGACGAUGCGUAGCCGACCUGAUAGGGUGAUCGGCCACACUGGAACUGGGACACGGUCCAGACUCCUACGGGAGGCAGCAGUAGGGAAUCUUCCGCAAUGGGCGAAAGCUUGACGGAGCAACGCCGCGUGAGUGAUGAAGGUCUUCGGAGCGUAAUACUCUGUUAUUAGGGAAGAACAAAUGUGUAAGUAACUAUGCACGUCUUGACGGUACCUAGUCAGAAAGCCACGGCUAACUACGUG
rnacentral:rRNA from 1 species